rnacentral:rRNA from 1 species
AUACAGAGGGUGCGAGCGUUAAUCGGAAUUACUGGGCGUAAAGCGCGCGUAGGCGGCUUGGUCAGUCGGAUGUGAAAGCCCCGGGCUCAACCUGGGAAUGGCAUUCGAUACUGCCAGGCUAGAGUAUGUGAGAGGGAAGUGGAAUUUCCGGUGUAGCGGUGAAAUGCGUAGAUAUCGGAAGGAACACCAGUGGCGAAGGCGACUUCCUGGCCCAAUACUGACGCUGAGGUGCGAAAGCGUGGGGAGCGAACAGGAUUAGAAACCCUAGUAGUCC